UUUAACUCUUUUCAGUAGAGACGUUGUCCGUGAAGGUUUGGUCCUGUCUUACAGGAAACUCUCUCACCUGACAUUUUUCGCCUCAAAAAUGGUUUUCAUGGACGGUUUGUCGUUUGAUGAUUGAGCUAUUUUGCUGUGGCUGUUUGCCUGUUUGGGGUGAAGUGGUUCUCCAGUAGAGAUGCGUUGGAAUGGAGCUUGUGCAGACUUGUUUAAUGUAAUCGUAUUGGCUUCAGAGUGUGUCCACCAGGGGGCAAGUUCCUGGUUUUAGCAAAUUGGCAACAUGGCAAGCUUAUGCCGCUGACGUCAUUUCUGUUACGGAUGCUGUGCCGUCAGUUACUGUGUUCGUGGUCAGUCAAUCAGUCAACUUUAACAUUGUUCUUCGCAAAUAUCCUCAAGAUUCAUUAUCAAAAUUUGAAUGCUGAGGUUUUUAAGAUCAGUGCGAGAACUUAACGUUAAUUCCUACAUUCUUUGGGUUUUGCCUGUGGUACACAUCUGUUCUUGUCAUUGGAUGGCUUUUCCCCGUAGGUUUGGUUGGCUAUUUGUUGGAUGGAUUGGUGAAGUUGAGCUUUUUCAAGGCAGUCCACUUCGUUUGAUUUGUUGCGGCCAGCUGGUUAACGGUUUGGUGAGCUGUUGUAUGAAGACAGUGUGCUGUUGUGAUGAGCUUCUGCAUGCAGUCUGUGGUGCUGGUGGGGGAAGUGCUGCAUGCUGUCAAUGGAGUGUGGUGCUAGCUUUAAAUUUGAUGAACUCACUGCUGUAACAAUUGAGUGUUUCCAAAGUCAGUUUGAGUUUAUUUGGUCUGCAGUUCAUGUUUGGGUGGUUUUGUUGCAGCCAGUUGUUGAAAUGGAGUUCCAUGUCAAAUUGAGCUGCAGGUUUUGGAAGUUAUCUACCUUGCUGGUGUCAUCCUGAAGUGGAACAGAAAUGCAGUCGUCUUGGUAUCUUGCAAUGGACUCAUGACGAUCUGAUGUAACUGCCUUGGUGAUAAUGAUGAUCAACCUGCUGUAUGCAGUCCAUGCUGCUGGUGUUCUCCAGAAAUAUUGAAGCAAGACUUGAAACAAAGCUGCAGGAAUAUUUGUAGAAAUGGAUUCUGAAAAUGUUCAGCGGUUUCAUACGCUGAUUUCUGUUCAAGAUUUUAUCCUGAAUUGCGCUGAAGUCCUUGCAGUAACUGAUUCCGGUACCAUCCUGAUGUUGCAGUGCCGAUGAAAUAUGAGUUGAUAAAAAAUUAUCUGUAUUUGUGUUACAUCCUCUUAAUGUGGCAGAAGAUAUUGAUGUUUUUUACUUUUCAGAAUGAUGUGUUGCAACUAAAGUUAUAACUGAUAACUGGUAAUCCUAGAUGAUGAAACCACCUUAACCCUGAUUAGGUCAUAACUUAUUGUUUGUGUAUCAAAAUCAAACCUGUUAUUGUUUUACUUGUAAACUUAUUAUCGAAAUCUUUUUUUACAUAAUGUUAAAUGUUACAAUAAAUGAAAAAAAAAUA
rnacentral:lncRNA from 1 species